rnacentral:rRNA from 1 species
GCCCUACGGGAGGCAGCAGUGAGGAAUAUUGGUCAAUGGCCGCAGGGCUGAACCAGCCAAGUCGCGUGAGGGAUGACGGUCCUAUGGAUUGUAAACCUCUUUUGUCAGGGAGCAAAGGGCGCCACGUGUGGCGCUUUGCGAGUACCUGAAGAAAAAGCAUCGGCUAACUCCGUGCCAGCAGCCGCGGUAAUACGUAGGUGGCAAGCGUUGUCCGGAUUUACUGGGUGUAAAGGGCGUGCAGCCGGAGAGACAAGUCAGAUGUGAAAUCCACGGGCUCAACCCGUGAACUGCAUUUGAAACUGUUU